rnacentral:rRNA from 1 species
UACGGGGGGGGCAAGCGUUGUUCGGAAUUACUGGGCGUAAAGGCUCGUAGGCGGCCAACUAAGUCGGAUGUGAAAUCCCCAGGCUUAACCUGGGAACUGCAUCCGAUACUGGAUGGCUUGAAUUCGGGAGAGGGAUGCAGAAUUCCAGGUGUAGCGGUGAAAUGCGUAGAUAUCUGGAGGAAUACCGGUGGCGAAGGCGGCAUCCUGGACCGAGAUUGACGCUGAUGAGCGAAAGCUAGGGGAGCAAACGGG